rnacentral:rRNA from 1 species
CGACUAGCUUCGCUUGGAGUCGCGAACGGCUGAGUAACACGUAAGAACUUACCCCUUGGCGGGGAAUGCCUCGAGGAAGCUCGAGUUAAUACCGCAUAAGACCGAAAGGUGAAAGGAUGUAACUAUCCACCGAGGGAGAGGCUUGCGGCCUAUCAGCUUGUUGGUGAGGUAAUGGCUCACCAAGGCAACUACGGGUAGGGGGCGUGAGAGCGUGUACCCCCAGAAUGGCACUGAGACACGGGCCAUACACCUACGGGUGGCGCAACCAGGAAUCGUACGCAAUGGACGAAAGUCUGACGUCGCGACGCCGCGUGAAGGAUGAAGGCCUUAGGGUUGUAAACUUCUUUUGGUUUGAUGGAGACAUCAUUCAGAAUAAGCACCGGCUAACUUCGUGCCAGCAGCAGCGGUAAUACGAAGGGUGCAAGCGUUGUCCGGAUUUAUUGGGCGUAAAGCGUUCCGUAGGCUCAUUGGAAAGUCACAUUUCAAAGCCCGAGGCUUAACCUCGGAAAGGGAUGUGAUACUACCAGUGUUGAAUUACGUAGGGGCUACUGGAACUUACAUGUAGGAGUGAAAUCCGUUGAUAUGCUAAGGAACAC